rnacentral:lncRNA from 1 species
CCCAUAGUACACUUGAUCAAUUAAGUCAUUGUAAGACCCAGCAGGUUCUCCAUCAGGUGUUGCAAAUGGAACAUACUCAUAAGGAACUGCAUAAGGCAUGUUUUCCAUUACAGCAUCGAAAACAUCAAUGCAGUACCCUUUAAUUGAUUUUGCUUUCUGAUUGAGAGGAUCCCACACUACCUCAAGAAAUUCACUAAAACCACCUUUCACUGGAACCCCAAUUCUCAAUUUCUUCCCACUCGUUGGGGUCUCCCAACCUUUGGGAACCAAGGUAGUAUCCCCUGGCCAUAUAAUGGGACCAAGUUUUGGCUUAGAAGUAUUCGGGCUUGUGUUUGUCAAAUCCAAUUGUCUUACAAGUCCAUUUUCGGGUGUCCAGAACCCGACCCUUCUUUCCCCACUUCCAAUUACGUUAACUAUCUGGAACACGGAUGAUUGUAAUUGCCCAUUAACAAAAUAAAAGUCUCCGGUAAGGCCUCUGAAUUUAGACUUUGAUAAUUCCUGGAUGAGUCGUGGACCAUUUUGUGAGACUCCCAAAGUUUCAAGGUCCGUUGCAGAACUGCUGGAAAUAUCUGGUUUGUUGAAGUGGAGGUUUGCAGUGCCAGCUUUCUCAAUUGCCAUUGCCAGAGCAAAAGUUGUAUCAUAAGCCCAUAGUCCCACAAUGUUCAAUUCAGAAUUAAUGGAGUCCGGAUUCUCUUGCUGGAACUUCCUUCUCCAGCGAACUGUAAAAUUUUCUAGCUUUUUUGGUUUAGGAACAUAAGACUUCACACCUACAACCCCCUGCAUGGAAUCGAUGGGCGAGGCAUCUAUUGAUCUCCACAGAUUAGUCAUCGCAUCAGUCAUGAUCCAAACAUACCCUUCACUCAUCAUUCCAAUCUCUUUUGCUUUGGCCAAAAUCCGACUGCCAAGAGACAUUGUCAUGUGCACAAUGAACACUCUUGUUUGCAUGGUCAUUAACUUGUAAAGCUCUUCAGCAAUUUUGUCAUCCGUAGCUAACGCAGAAAUGACACUCAGAUAUGGGACGCGAGUGUUGAUCUCCUGUAAGGCCUCCGUCAAGUAAGGUAUAAGGCUCUCCCGAUGCUGGUUGUCAACGUAGAUGGGUACAGCUUCUCUCCAUCCAAAAGCCUGGACAAUUGCACUUAUCGCUUUCACUUGAUUUGAGCUACUUUGUGCAGCAAGAAAAAAGUAUGGACUCUGGAGGGAAGUGAGAGAAGGACUUGUUGCAGAAAACGAUAUGAUGGGAAUCUGAGAUUUGUUUCCGAGAUUGAUAACAAAGUUGGCUUGCAUUGAACUUCUCGGUCCUAUGAUUGCUUGCACUUGUACAUUUUUCAUCAAGUCGAGAGCUGUUCACCAAGGGAAUUGACAAAAAUUCUGACUUAAUUAUUCAUCCUGAAAGAUUUAACAUGCUACAGGAAGAAUAAACAUUAAAAAAUAAACAUGGCAUUGGUCUGCUGACUCGGUUAAAAAAUAAAUGUCAGUCUGACUUGAAAAUUGAUAGCUAUUAAAAAUAUUAGCACGCAGUUGUGCGAUGAGCAACGAGCAAUGACCAUGGAGGGAAGAUCUUUUCUAAUCACAUCACGGUCAAUUGUUUUUUUAUUACAAUUAGUUGGAGGUCAAUUCUUCUGUCAGAGUAUUUUACCUAGUAAGUCAGGGAUUGGUCAUUGGUGCAUACAGUAGGUUAGUAUUAUCGAUGUCUGGGGUACUCCUACAACCAAACAUUUUUCCCUGUCAGUAUUAUCAACCAUCUCUUUCCAUCUGCUGUCAUGAACGUAAUUUAAGGAGAAAUAAAUUAAUGGCGGAAUCAUUUAGGUUAGCGACGGUUUGGGUUUAUUGCUGGCGGACGGAGAGAGCCUAAGGCUUCUGCCUGAGAGAGUCCCUGACUGUGAUCGCUUGUGUAUAUAUAAAUGAUGCAUGCUUUCAUAAGCAAAGCAAAAAACUUCUAUAUCCAAAUAUACAUCAAAACGUCAUACUGGUUCAAAAAGCAGAAGAUAUCGGACUAAUUUUUUCAGGUGUUUUAGAGAGAAAAGUAAAAGGAAACAAAAUGGACUGAUUAUAUGUUAGUAAUAGUUUCAGAAAUCAAUCGAAAGAAAUUAAGUUAUGGGUACAUUGUGUAAUAAAACUUCAUUUGAUAAUGUUCAUAGAGAAAUGUAAUAAGCACCCACAACCUUGACAAGGUGAUCGGAGCAGCCAGAAAACGGAGGAAAAAAUUAAAAUCAAACUACUCUACAUCGAUAUUUUGCUAUCUCAGUAGCUUAAUUUCAUCAAGAAUAACAGAAUAAGUUCAAAUAAAAAGGUGAGUCGAAGAAGAAGAAGAAGAGGGAGAGAACGCACCGGCAUCAGCUGCGGCGGCGACGCCUUUCUUGGAGUCCCUGAUGUUCAAGACCAUCCUGGUUUUGUAGUGAGCAUGAGUGUCAUAAAAGUCUGAGAGGGCCAUGUUGAUGCAACUCAAACCAAUCUUCCCAACCAAGGAAUCCAAGUCAAGAACCACACCUACGUUAACUUGGCUGGUUGUGUUUUGAGUCAGGACCCCUUCUAGCAAGAAAAUGAAGACACAGAACAGAUUAAAUAUGGGUUUGGUACAGCUCCUCAUCAUCUUUGGAGCUGAUCUUCUGCUCUUGAACACGGUUUUCCCACAGACAAAUAUCUGUACUUAUAGGAAUAGGAUGACAGAUUUGAAAAGUAGUAUGAAUAACACGUCUAGACGAAGAAGUAGUAAACAAAUACAGUGCAUGGGGAUACAAAAUUAUUUAGUCUUGGAAUCAUUGAUCCUUUUGCUUUUUGUUAUUUUCUAUAAAAAAAGUUUAAACAUAAAAAACAAAAAAAAAAUCAAUGAAAGGAAACUUGUAAGCAUGACUUGUAAUCUUUCUAAUUAUCCCUAAACACGUGAUUCAUUGACUAUUAAAAGGUAAUUAAUUACUUCUUUUGGUCUUCUAAAAAGCUUAGACUUCUUUCUUUAUGUUUGAGAAAGACGUGUGUAUAAACUUAUUUAUAUAUUUUUUUAAUAAAACUUCAUGGAUUGUAUUUAAUUAAAGUCAUAUAUAAAGAAACCAUGAACACGUUAAUUCAGAAGGUUUUUCAACUUUUUUUUUUUGAAAUAAGGUCCAAAUUUAAUAUUUUAUUUAAGGUGAUGGGUCAAAUUUCUCAUUUAUCAUUGAAUGAUUUAAAUUUUCUCAUUUAUACCUUUUAAUUAAAUUAUAAAAUAUAGUGAUAAAAUUGUAUUCAUACAAAAAUUAAAGAUAAAUUCGAAUCUGAUCCCAAUUUUUUUAAAUGGGGACGUAUAUAAAACAAUUCUAAAAAAGGGUAAGAAUAAAAAAAAUUAAGUUCAAAACGUCGAAAUAUAACUAUAUUCUUAUACUUUUUAAACAAAGGAGUAUAACAAAAAAUCCCUUUCUGGAAUUUAAACCAAACCAUGCUUAAUUAUAAUCUUAAAUUGAUGAAUUGGUUUUAUACCAUCCCCGUCCCUUAUUUUGUUAACUAACUAAGCGUGAGUUAAGCCUUUUUUUUUUUUGGCCAAGUGAGUUAAGCUCUUGAAACAAAAAAAAAUGAUUUAAUACAUAUUCAUGUAAUAACUUUUAAUCAUAUAUCAUAUUUUGAUUUAUCAAAUUUUAUAAUUGACGUGAUAGAAACUCUCCAUUUAAUAAUUUCUCGUAGAAUAGAUUAUAGAGUUCAAACAAUUGUAAUAAAAUCUGUUAAGUACAAGCUGAAAACAAAAUAAUAAUAUAAAAAUCUAAGUUCUUUAUUCCAUGGAUGUGGAACGACUAGUUUAAUUUAAUAAUAGGGUUCCCAUCAGUUGGAAUGGGGCAACAGGAGGACUUGUCAAGGAGAGAAGGGAAAAUUACAGGAGUGGAACGUAAAUGGCCUUCAAAUACGACUGCAGCAUUUUGUCUUCUUAUGUAAUUAACGUUUACCUUGACCUAAUCAAUGCAGAAUCUUCUGCUCAAGAAAGAGAAGACAAACUCUAAUUCUAGUAAUGAAGACUGCAAAUUGAUGUAGUAUUGACGAAUGGUUUGGUUUUCUUGCUGGUUUAGGCCAUCAUUUUCCAUAUCAAUCAACAAAUCAUUUAUUGUUGAAUUAAAUUCGAAAUUAGGUAUCUUUUCAAUGUGUAAUGAUCAAUCAAGAUCCUGAGAUAAUGAUAAUGAGAUUAAUAGUUUAAGGAAAAGUAUGGGUAAUGUCAUUGCCAAAUUUGGUAUUUAUUGAAAGUAUGAAACGAAAUUUUAUAUUUUUUUUCGUAGAAUGUCAAGUUGAAAUUUAAGCUUGAUUGUUUAAUUACUUGUUAAGUAUCCAGUUGUUUUCGUUUCAGGAUUCUUGACUUAUAUCAAUUUGAUAUAUAUUAAUAAAAAUUCUUUAGUUUGAGAAAAAAAAUUAUUUACAGUACCAAAAAAUCAAGUGGAGACAGCUAGGCCCAUGGGGAUUCCAUGAUAAUGUAAAACUGAGAAAGGGCAGAAGGUCAGAUCUAGCCGUAAAGGUUAGACCAAACUUCGAUGUUGGUUUCUGUAAGAAAACGAAAAGAAAGACUUGACAAACAAAAUGCAGCUUUGUUCUUAACGUUGUUGACUCGAGCAAGCAAAACGUGUGAAGUUUUUUUUUUUGGGGGGGGUUCUUCAUACAAAACGAGUGAUGAUUACUAUGGAGAAACAUUCAAUACGUAAAGAGAUGGAAAUUCCAUUUCGUUAAUUUAAAAUUUGUAGAAUUGGUAAAUUAACUUGUUAUUCUCUUUGACUAAAAAGAGAAGAUCACUUGAACUUGAUCAAAUGAAUAAAAUUAUUGAUAAUCAAACCAAAUUGUGACAUAAUUUUCACUGAUGGUAUUAAAUCUUAUAGUGGUAUUCAUCAUUAGAAGAAAUUUCAAGCUUUAACUUGAAUAAUUUAAAACAUGGAGUAGUUUUGAUUUAUUUAGAUUUUAAAAGUUAUUUAGUUUUGAGUUAUUUAGUAGUCUUAAAAAAUUUCAGAACUAUUUUCGAAAAUUCAAUUAAAUUUUUAUUUUUUAUUAUGUUAAAUAAAAUCUUGAUAUUUUUAUUUUUGAUUACAUAAGUAUUUAUGAUUAAUAGUUUACUUAUUAUUAUUAAUCAAAAUGGUAUAUAUCACUUUUAUAUUCAUGUAAUAUUGACAUAGAUGAUAAAAAAUGUCAUAUAGUUAUGUCAUUAUAUUUAUAAUGACAUGUCAUCAUAUGAUAUGAUAUGUCAUCAUACCACACUAACACCUCAAUUUGAAGAAUACCAUACUAACACCUCCUGAUGAUGAACUCAAUUUGAAUACAAGUAUUUUAAAAAUUACUGUAUAACAUCAGUUGUAAUUAAUAAUGACAUUUACCUUUAAUAAUCUCAGUAGUCAAGCAAAUUUUCCUAAGUCAGAAAAUUUAGUGUAAAUAAGAAACUUGAAUUAAAGUUACUCGACGGUGACUCAAAACUUUUAAAAGAAUUUUCCCAAUUUUUUGCUUAUUUAUCUAAUCGAAUGCUCUAUUCUAAUCUGUCCCAAUAUAUAUAUAUAUAUAUAUGUUCAACUUUUACAAAUUAGAGUCAAUGAAAUUUGUUUAGAAACAACCGUGCAUAUGUAUUUGGGACCAUUAUCUUGAUACUUCUGACCCUUAGACUUUGAAUUUUCUUUUAAGGCUUAUAUUUGAGAUAUCGAUGAUAAUAAAAAAUUUAUAAGUUGAGAACAUAUAAUAUACAGAUAGUACUCUUUCUUAGAAGUUUCUUUCAAUUACAAAGCUUGACUAGCAGGAGCGAAGCAAUCCACCUGUUUCCUUUUUUUUCUCAUAUACUCUGUCAAAUUUCUAGUAAGAUUUGAUUUUACUGCAUCAGUUUCAUUUUUGGAGAAAAUGUUUCAGUUUCUCUUGAAUAUGUUGUUCCUGCUCCACUUACCAAAAAAAUUAAUGAUGAUCAAAGUAGGUAGUUUUCACUAGAUGAUAGCAAACUAGCAUAGGUUGGUUUCAAUUGUUGUAAAAACAGAAAACAGGGAUAUCUUCCUCAAAUUGUGAACAAUUUUGGUGCGGAAUGGAUUUUCAUGUACAACCUGCAAAAUCCUAUUGAAAGUUGGCUUCCUUUUCUUGUUUAAAAAAAAGUUAAUUUUCAACCUGGAAGCUGGAGUACAGAUACAUUCUAGUCCGAAACACAAACAGGGGGCUCUGUUAACCAGGAAACGGCUAGCUAGAAGCUAAUUGAAGUACGGAGCUCAUCAGCUCCACUUCCAACUAUGAUGCUAUACCGAUACUAUACAUGAAUUUACAAUAUUUUCUGCUCAUGGGUCAUUUCUGUUGGCUAGCUCAAUAGAAGAUCUUUCCGGGGAAGGGAAUGUCUCUGGAGAUGCUGAUCCACUUGGAGUCAGAUCACCAUGCCCUGUAAACCUUCCCUGGUCUACAAAGAAAACAAACUGUGAAGAAUGUGUCUGGCUUGAGUAGCUUGAUGGAAUUGGGGGGCAGUUAGUGUUUGGUGAGCUUCCAACAACACCAAUGCUGUGAACACUGUGAGUGCUGCUUGCAUCUCUGACUUCGCUUUUUCUGAAAGUAUGGGAGCUCAGGUCUUUCUGGUCAAAGAUUCUCGACAUAAUUCGGAUUCUUCUCCACACUGAAGUAUCAUGGAACUGAAACAAGACAUGCCGUUGUUCGUGCAAGAACAUUGCUGAAUAUAUGAUGAGAGCUGACAUAGAUGCAGUCCCAGCAAUUAGGAACAGGCCCCAAAAGCUCUCCAGACCAAGACUGCUUGAAGAAACAGAAGGGUCAACGUCAGGACAGACAGUUCCCUUCUUUAACCAAAAGUUUUCAAUUUGUUCCAUUUUGUCACUUUCAGUAACAUUAAGGAUUGCCCUUGAAACAUCUGCUACAAGAGGGGAACCUUUAGGGAAGGCCUACAAAAAGCAACAUAAAUAAAAAUCAGCAUGAAACAUUAAGCAUAUCAUAUAGAAUGAAGGAAGCUAGAGAGAAAGAGAUUGACAGAGAACUCACGAAUCCAAAGCCAGCGGUUUUAAAUGUUGGUUCUACUGUAGUAUAUUUGCCGCAGUAUUUAGAAAGAAAUAGCUUAAUAUAAGGAUUUUCAUCCAAAGCAGCAGAAAUACCGCCAUUGGCACUUCCUUUGGUAAAAAGUUCAUGAAGUUCUUCUGGAGAAUUAUAUUUCUUGAGCUGGAAGUUUUCAAAUUUCAAACCCAACAAGAUUCCUUCAACGAAGCAGCCAUUCAAUAAGCCAACGCUCUCCCUUCUCUUCACGAGCUCAUUGAUAUCAGUUACAGUGGGCUGGAGCUGCUCAACUGUUAAAAGAGAGCUCAAAUUUGCCGUAUAACUUUGGGUGAGAACGAGAACGACGAAACACCAUACAAUUACCACAAAUCUAGCCAAAUUGCUAACAACUUUCUCCCCUGUAAUAUUUUUCAAUUCAAGAACAAAAAAAUGAGGUUUAAAAUGUUGGAUCGAAAUGCAAUAUGUUUAUAAAUUGAAAAGGUGAAAGGGGUUAUUACGAUAGGCAAACACCAUGGUUGAGAAGGAGAACCAGAAGCUGGUGCCGAUUUGAUGUGCAGGGGGUCCACGGAAAUCCUCGUUUAUUCUGUGCUCGAGAAUCCAAACAACAAAUCCGAUGAAGACAACGAAGCAACCGCUCGUUACCCAGAGGUCCCAUGUCAAAGGCUUUAAGAAAACCCAUGCAUUCUUUUCCUUGUUAUCUUUGAUUGGCACGAUCAUCGACACACCAGAUUCUGUGUAUGGCAAGGUGAAGUCCACAAACAAUGACCUGUUUGCCACGAUUGUUGUAUCUCCUACCACAGCGUCAUAAUUCUGCUCAUAGCAGUCAAUGGUCAAAAGAGAAUAAAAUAAAUUGAAGCUAUGCAUGAAACCAUAGUGGUGAAUUAUAGCAAUAGACAAAAGGAUUGAAGGAGGAGACUUACCCCAUAGUACACUUGAUCAAUUAAGUCAUUGUAAGACCCAGCAGGUUCUCCAUCAGGUGUUGCAAAUGGAACAAACUCAUAAGGAACAGAAUAAGGCAUGUUUUCCAUUACAGCAUCGAAAACAUCAAUGCAAUACCCUUCAAUUGAUUUUGCUUUCUGAGUGAUAGGAUCCCACACUACGUCAAGAAAUUCAGUAAAACCAACUU